rnacentral:rRNA from 1 species
UACAGAGGGUGCAAGCGUUAAUCGGAAUUACUGGGCGGAAAGCGUGCGUAGACGGUUACAUAAGUCAGAUGUGAAAGCCCCGGGCUCAACCUGGGAAUUGCAUUUGAGACUGUGUAGCUAGGGUGCGGAAGAGGGAAGCGGAAUUUCCGGUGUAGCGGUGAAAUGCGUAGAUAUCGGAAGGAACACCAGUGGCGAAAGCGGCCUGCUGGGCAGUUACUGACACUGAGGCGCGACAGCGUGGGGAGCAAACAGG